rnacentral:rRNA from 1 species
AGCGAACGCUGGCGGCAGGCCUAACACAUGCAAGUCGAACGAACUCUUCGGAGUUAGUGGCGGACGGGUGAGUAACACGUGGGAACGUGCCUUUUGGCUCGGCAUAACUCAGGGAAAAUUGUGCUAAUACCGAAUGUGUCCUGCGGGGGAAAGAUUUAUCGCCAGUAGAGGGGCCCGCGUCGGAUUAGCUAGUUGGUGAGGUAACGGCUCACCAAGGCGACGAUCAGUAGCUGGCCUGUGAGGCUGACCAGCCACACUGGGACUGGGACAUGGCCCGGACUCGUACGGGAGGCAGCAGUGGGGGAUCUAGCGCAAUGGGCGAAAGGCUGACGCAGCCAUGGCGGGUGAAUGAUGAAGGUCUUAGGAUUGUAAAAUUCUUUCACCGGGGACGAUAAUGACGGUACCCGGAGAAGAAGCCCCGGCUAACUUCGUG